AUUGAACGCUGGCGGCAUGCCUUACACAUGCAAGUCGAACGGCAGCACGGGUGCUUGCACCUGGUGGCGAGUGGCGAACGGGUGAGUAAUACAUCGGAACAUGUCCUGUAGUGGGGGAUAGCCCGGCGAAAGCCGGAUUAAUACCGCAUACGAUCUACGGAUGAAAGCGGGGGACCUUCGGGCCUCGCGCUAUAGGGUUGGCCGAUGGCUGAUUAGCUAGUUGGUGGGGUAAAGGCCUACCAAGGCGACGAUCAGUAGCUGGUCUGAGAGGACGACCAGCCACACUGGAACUGAGACACGGCCCAGACUACUACGGGAGGCAGCAGUGGAGAAUUUUAGACAAUGGGCGAAAGCCUGAUCCAGCAAUGCCGCGUGUGUGAAGAAGGCCUUCGGGUUGUAAAGCACUUUUGUCCGGAAAGAAAUCCUUGGCCCUAAUACGGUCGGGGGAUGACGGUACCGGAAGAAUAAGCACCGGCUAACUACGUG
rnacentral:rRNA from 1 species